GACGAACGCUGGCGGCGUGCUUAACACAUGCAAGUCGAACGGAAAGGCCCUGCUUUUGUGGGGUGCUCGAGUGGCGAACGGGUGAGUAACACGUGAGUAACCUGCCCUUGACUUUGGGAUAACUUCAGGAAACUGGGGCUAAUACCGGAUAGGAGCUCCUGCUGCAUGGUGGGGGUUGGAAAGUUUCGGCGGUUGGGGAUGGACUCGCGGCUUAUCAGCUUGUUGGUGGGGUAGUGGCUUACCAAGGCUUUGACGGGUAGCCGGCCUGAGAGGGUGACCGGCCAAAUGGGGACUGAGAUACGGGCCCGAAUCCUACGGGAGGCAGAAGUGGGGAAUAUUGCACAAUGGGCGGAAGGCUGAUGCAGCAACGCCGCGUGCGGGAAGACGGCCUUCGGGUUGUAAACCGCUUUCGCCUGUGACGAAGCGUGAGUGACGGUAAUGGGUAAAGAAGCACCGGCUAACUACGUG
rnacentral:rRNA from 1 species